CCUAUUUCAUGGUGGAAACUGCAGGUUUCAAACUUUAGAGAAAAAAUAGCGAUACAUGGACUCCAUGGUUGUUGGAGAUCGAGAGAAGUGAAGGAGGAGUGAGCCGGAGAGGCGAUGGUCGUCAUCGGAGAAGACGGAGAGAACCAAAAGGUUCUAGAGAGAUGAAAGGUUAGAGAGCAUAAGUUAGAGAUAGAGAGACCGGUCCUUGAAAAUGAAAGGUUGGGGUAAUUAGAUUUUAAUUGUGGAAAAUAGAUCUGGGCCGUUGAUCUUAUUCCUAGAGAGAUGAAAGGUUAGAGAGCAUAGGUUAGAUAUAGAGAGACUG
rnacentral:lncRNA from 1 species